GUUACAUGCCGCGUCUCUACUUCCACCCACCCCCAACUGUCUGCUGCUUCUGCCAGGUGCUGCUCGUUUGCCCAGCAUGGUCGUCUCUCCUGGGGUCUCUGCCAUUACCCAGCAUAACAGCUUUGCUGGGCACUGCCCCCCUCGUCGGCACCUUUACCAUCCACGGGCUUCCAGCAUCUCCAGCCAGACCCACCGUCAGUGCAUUGGAGUCACCCGGUACCAAAGCCUCGUUGGGACUCUGAAGUUCUAGAAUCCCAACCUGCAACGGCUGGAUGAGAAGAAGAGUUCAUUGGCUCACCACCCAUGGGAAGUAGAAAGAUACACUUGGAGUACAGAAAUGACAAGAGCUGGGAGUUUGACUGCCUUCCCAAACCUCCCUACUGCGUCUCUCCCCUCUGCUUCCCUUGGUGCCUUGGCUCUGUUUCCUACUUCACACUGAUCUCUCCCACAGGGUGGGAGAGGUUGUCACCAAUAACUUGGAGGACCACGUGGCUUUGCCUUCAGCAAUCCCUCAAUGGCCGUGGAGAAACCGUUGGAGCAGAGGACCAAGGAAGGCCGGGAAUCCUGGAGAGAAUCCUUUGCUCCACGUGGAUGGAAAACCACUGCAUGGCAGGAGUGUGGCCAGACAUCCUUCUCACUACCGGCAGAGAACCUCCAUCAGAGUUAGGG
rnacentral:lncRNA from 1 species